rnacentral:rRNA from 1 species
AAUGAACGUUGGCGGCGUGGAUUAGGCAUGCAAGUCGUGCGAGAACCGUAGCAAUACGGGGACAGCGGCGAAAGGGAGAGUAACACGUGGAUACCAACCCUCGGGACUGGGAUAGCCGCGGGAAACUGCGGGUAAUACCAGAUAACGUCUCCGGACCAAAGGUGUGAUUCCGCCUGGGGACGGGUCCGCGUUCUAUUAGCUAGUUGGUAGGGUAAUGGCCUACCAAGGCGAAGAUGGAUACGGGGUGUGAGAGCAUGCCCCCGCUCACUGGGACUGAGACACUGCCCAGACACCUACGGGUGGCAG